GGCCUGCCUGGAGGCCCUGAUUGGCCAGUGAAUCUUGAGUGACAUCAACCCAUCCCGUAGGAUUAGAGUGCGCUGAAGGCACACAGCAUAGCGUUUCC
rnacentral:miRNA from 14 species